GUCAUGUGUAGCUGUAUACACUCUAACAAGGAAAGCGAAGAAGUUGCUGACACAUCGUUAGGAUUUAUGGACAUGGAACAUCAGAUUUGUCUACCCUACAUGCUUCUUGUCUGCUUUCUGAUCGCUGCUCUGCUAACCAAUGAUACUGAAGGACAGAUUACGUUCUCCAAAAGCUGGCAGGCAGGGAAGAGGUCGGAAGAUUGUUCCUUAACAGGUCUUCGCUCGCUUAUGAAGAUUCACGAUCUUCUAGAGAAAGAAACUGCAGAGUUAGCCAAAUGUAGACUCUCUAAAGAAGACCAAGUUUUUCCGAUGAAUUGAUUCUGACUACCAGGGAGCGAUAUUUGUGUAAAUCUUGAUACAUUGAAAUUGAUAUAUGUUAAACACUUUACAUGUGUUUGUUUAAGGUACAAAGCUAAAUA